AACCAUGUGGCCUAUGGAUAAGGCAUCAGACUUCAGAUCAGAAAAUUGAUGGUUCAAAUCUCUUAGUAGUUU
rnacentral:tRNA from 1 species